AUAACGUGCCACAGGUUUAUUGGAGCUUGGGUGGAAAAAUUCGUUAUUCCGCAACCAAACCGUUUUUCCUGAUGAUAAAUCUCGACAACGGUGAACGGGAAUAAACAUUUCAUUGCGGAUCGCUGCGAGCGGUGACAGAUGGUAAUUUUUCACGCCACUAUCGAAGAAUCGCAAAUGUUAAUUGGUAUUAGAAUUGUGGAAGGUUUCUCGCUCGUUCGUUUGCAGUCUGCGCAGAUGCAGACAUGAAGUUCUUUAAGUUGAGUGACAUAACGUGGAGAGUUUCGAAAUGAUAAUGACCAUCCGGGAGGACCCGAAUCUUCUAAUUGAGAGAGGAAACCACUCCCCGAAUAUCAAAGGGCCACGUAUCGCUCUAGUUUCUGCUGGCUGUAUCCACUCAGCAGAUAUAACACCACCUCAAUGCCAUGAUCCCAAGUUACACGCUGCGUCAGAAUCCGAGCUCACCUUGAUCCUCAGCUUCCGUUUACACAUGCAGCAAUGUUUACAGUGAAAGUUCGACGUUAAUUCGAAACUUCACUCUGCGAUAGCGAGCAAAACAGAGCAGAGAGCUCGGUUAUUCACGAUUGAAAAGUGUUAAAUGGUUUG